rnacentral:rRNA from 1 species
UGGGGAAUAUUGGACAAUGGGCGCAAGCCUGAUCCAGCCAUGCCGCGUGUGUGAAGAAGGCCUUUUGGUUGUAAAGCACUUUAAGCGAGGAGGAGGCUACUUGGAUUAAUACUCUAAGAUAGUGGACGUUACUCGCAGAAUAGGCACCGGCUAACUCUGUGCCAGCAGCCGCGGUAAUACAGAGGGUGCGAGCGUUAAUCGGAUUUACUGGGCGUAAAGCGUGCGUAGGCGGCUUCUUAAGUCGGAUGUGAAAUCCCUGAGCUUAACUUAGGAAUUGCAUUCGAUACUGGGAAGCUAGAGUAUGGGAGAGGAUGGUAGAAUUCCAGGUGUAGCGGUGAAAUGCGUAGAGAUCUGGAGGAAUACCGAUGGCGAAGGCAGCCAUCUGGCCUAAUACUGACGCUGAGGUACGAAAGCAUGGGGAGCAAACAGG